UUAUAGUUUUUAGUACGAAAGGACCAUUAUUAUGAAAUUUUUUUUCUUUUUGGUUAAAGUU
rnacentral:rRNA from 1 species